AAGGCUUAUGGAGACUACAGAUACAGAGGCUAAGCUGGGUGGACAUAAGCAGGAAAGGACAUCUUAGACCUACAAUUGUUGACCUCUCUUUAUCAAGGUGGACACAACUUGUUCCGGCAUUUCUGAUCAUCAAGAGGCACUUUGUCAUCAAAGGGUGCUCAUCUUUCAAGAUGCUGUAACAAUUUUGAGUAUGAUCUUCUUGCCUUGCCGCAUUUAGGGUUUAGGAGCCCAUAUUUUAAAGUAGAAAGGGCAAGGAUGGAAGGUCACGGCAGGGACUCUCAGAGGCAAUAGUCAAAGUCAUAGAGUGGUGGGAAGAAAAUGAUCUCUCAGAGUCGCUUCUAUCGCUUUCCAUCUCUUUAACUGGCUUGUGCGGCUUAACACCUCUCAGCCUCAGCUUUCUUUCCAGUAAAAUAAGCGCCCUCAUAUCUACCUUAUGGGGUCCAUGAAAGCAUGACAUCAAUUGAGCAGGCGAAUCAGUGAACCUGCAGAAGCAACAAACACAGCUACCAUUUGUUGGGGACGUAACACAUUUGAGGCUCUGUGCAGACAUUUGAAAGACAUGGCUGUGUCACUUCCUCUGUCUAAUUUCUCUUCAUCUUCUCCCUCUCUUUUUAUUUCCUGAAGCUAGAAAUACGAUGGCGAGUUUAAAACUUUGUUCUUUCAUUCAACAAACAUUUUUUGAGCAACUCCUGUGUGCUAGUCAUGGUUCUUUGUUCUUAAGACACAGCUCCAAACAAGACAGACCAGAUCUAUAUUCUCAGAUAUUAUAGUGAAGGGAGACUGAAAACAAUGGGUAAGCAAAUACAUAUGCUAGGUAAUUUCGGACCGAUCAAGGUACUAAAACAACAACAACAAAAACAAGGUGUCACGAAGAGACAGAGACAGCUGGGAUGGGUGGGAAGAUAAUGAAUGAAGGUUAUUUUAAUUAAUUGAUUGAUUGAUUGGUUGACUUUUAAAUCUUAUUGGAGUACAACUGACUUAAAAUGUUGUGUUACUUUUAGGUGUAUAGCAAAGUGAAUCAGUUUACAUAUCCAUAUAUCCAUUCUUUUCAGAUUCUUUUCCCAUGUAAGUUAUUACAGAAUAUUGAGUAUAUUUGGCUGUGCUAUACAGUAGGUCCUUACAACUUAUAUAUUGUAUGUAUAGUAGUAUGCAUAUGUUAAUCCCAAGCUCCUAAUUUAGCCCCCCCCCCCCAAUGUUUCCUCUUUGGUAACCAUUUGGUUUUGAGAUCUUUGAGUCUGUGUCUGUCUUGUAAAUAAGUUCUUUUCUAUCACUUUUUAUUACAUUCCACAUAUAAGUGAUAUCGUAUGCUGUUUGUCUUUCUGACAUACUUCACUUACUAUGAGAAUCUCUAGUUGCAUCCAUGUUGUUGGAAAUGCCAUUCAUUUGUUCUUUUUUAUGGCUGAGUAAUAUUCCUGUGUAUAUAUGUACCACCUCUGAAUGAUGGCUAUUUUAGAAAGGGAAUGAGCAAUGGGAAAAGGUAGGAAAAGUGAGCUGUGGGCAGAGUGUAUGCAAGUAAAAUGAACUUAAUGUGUUUGAAGAGCAAAGAAGUCAGAAUUCCAAGUGGUUAGCAAAUGAGAGAAUGCAGGAGGUGAAGAAGGAGAGACUGGGUUUUCUAGAAGGGCAGGAAGUUUGACUUUAUUCUAAAUGUGAUGGAGGGUUUUGCACAUUGGAAUGAUGUCCUCUGAUUUAUGUUUUAUAAGGAAAAUUUAUUCUAUUGUUUGAAGAUGACUCGAGGGGUUAAAAUGACCAGGAGGCAUGAUAAGGAAAGAGUGAGAAGGCCAAGGCAAAAUCCAAAUGAGUGAUGACUGUGGUUUGGCCAAAGGUUUUUGCCAUUGGGGUAGAGAGAAGAUGGCUUUUGGAUAAGUUUGGGAGAUGAGCUGAUUAGACCCACAUGGAUAGAACUUGGGAAAUAAAAGAAAGGGAAAAUCAAGGAUGACUUCUAGGCUUGGGCUGAGCACUUGUUUGUUGGAAAAUCUAGGACUCCCUUAACUGCCCCACUGUGUGUUUUAAGAGGAAGCAAUUGCUCGUGUUAUACAAGAUGAGCUCUUAAGUCUGCAUGUGUGAUAUUCAGUGGGACCAAGACCGGGCUAGAGAUACAGUUGAACUGGAGAAAAGAUGUUGAUGUUUCCUGAAUCUUUGGGUUGUGUUCUUUCAGUAUACUGGUGGUGGAUUACUUUGUAACUUUUGCUUCAGUUUUCCUCCAACUGCUCCGGUUUCCACCCCCACUCUCCGCUCCCACUUCUGCUGCUUCCUCUUCACUUCAGCAGUGCAAGAACCACCUUGCAGGGCACGGCAAGUUCAACAGACUUGGCACCUGGGCCCUGGUGGAUGAGUUCUACCCUUUAGGCAGUGUGGCCUCCUGGCCUGCCAAAUCUGGAAUGCUUUCCUGGCUGCCUAUGCUGCUCCGGCACAGGGCUUCGGGGCUGGAGCAGAGCAGGACAGACUCCUACCCAUGCCUCUUUUGGUUAGGGUAUGAGGGGGAAGGGCCUGCAGCCCUGGGUGGUUCAUGAUGCCGAAACCCCAGGACUGCUGCUUGGGGCUGACUCUGGGAGUUGGUGUAGACAGUAGCUAGGCUCUGAGGCAUUUUGACAGCAAUUUUCAAGAGAGUCCCUUACCUUCCCUGAACUCCAAUUCUCUCAUCCAUAAAGAUGGGAUAGUAAUAACGAUUAAAGAUAGGACGGUGAUAACAAUUGUUUUGAGUUAUUGUAAUUAUUGACCACUUUUUUGGUGUCUUUUUAGGGUUGUACCCGCGGCAUAUGAAAGUUCCCAGGCUAGGGGUCAAAUCAGGGCUGUAGCUGUUGGCCUACACCACAACUACAGCAAUGCCAGAUCUGAGCCGUGUCUGCAAUGUACACCACAGCUCACAGCAAUGCCAGAUCCUUAACCCACUAAGUGAGGCCAGGGAUCAAAGCCACGUCAUUAUAGUUAUCCUGGAUACCAGUAGGGUUUGUUAACCACUGAGACAUGGUGAGAAUUCCUGAUUAUUGACAAUUUGAGAGGCAGUAAAGAGCCAAGGGACAUUUGGCUUGGAGUCUAGAGGCAGGAAAAGACCUCCAUUCUUUUCCAUAUGGAUCCUGACAUUGGAACGUGUUUCUUAACCAAUCUGUGCCUCAGUUUCCUUAUCUCCUCUAAAAGAAUAAUAAUGGUGCCUACCUCAAAUGGCUAUCCCGAGAUUUAAUUUCUUGGAAAGUGCUUCCAACUGUGACUGGCAUUUGACUAUAGCACCUAAAAAUAGUGUUUGACAAGAGGCACUUGAUGCUUGUCUGGUAGGAAAAAAAUGAUGUCUAGAAAAAGUGCAGAAAUAGCAUUAAAAAUUAUUGUUUUAAAUUUUGUUAUAUCCUUCAUUUGCAUUACUGCUUCUGUUUUCCAGAAAUAACUACAGUUUCAGUACAUGAAUCUCUGGGAUUUAAAUGAGAGGAUGACAUGCUCAGAUGCCUAUGAGGGGUGAGAGCAGGUAACACAAAUAAGUAAGGGAAGUAGGCUCGGGGGAUAGACCAGGGCGCAUAUGGUCUCAUCUGUCUUAACAGGUUACAUGGCUUAGCAGUGGUGUCACACGAAAGUUCUUUAAGAGAAGCUGGAAAUCUGGAAUUUUUAGAUAAAAUUUCCAGGUUUAUAAACAUGGGUGGUUAGACCAAAGUGCUGGGAAAAACAAAAAACAAAACAAAACAAAACAAGACAAAACAAACCUUGCUGGCUAAAGAGACAUCUGAUCCAUGGGGUAGGUCUGGCCAUGGGCCACCAGUUUAGUUACAUGGAUCUAGAUAACUGUGGAUCAGUUUGUGAAAUCAGCUGCAAGUGGGAUCCGGGAAGGUACAUUUAAAUGAGAGGAUGUUUUCAUAUGGAAAGCUACAGUGGGGGCUGCUCCGGAGCUUCCUCUGGAGUAGGAAACGGGGUUGGGAGUGAUGGGGAGGAUGCCGAAAGAUGAAGCAUGUGAUCCAGAUGGCCUGGGCAUACUUCAAAACCCGAUGUAGGGCUGGCCUCAGUGCCAUAGAUGUCUGUGUUUUGAACAUACAGGUUGUUUUUACUUCCUUGGCAGUCAGGUGAUACGGAGGCAGUAUUGUUCAAUUCACUGCUUCCUGGGGCCUGAUUGCACCUGCUGUGCAUAGCUAUGGCAUCACUCAUGGUUAGGCAACUGCUUGCCUUUGUCCUGAGGCUCCUGUGGGUCCCACCUGAUGCAGGUGUUUUGGAGGGAGCAUACACAGGUAGACUGCUUGGAUUGGAUCCUAUAACCCAGUCCACUAACCUGAUCUAUAGAGCAGGUGCCCAGAGAGUGGGGCUGAACUUCACUUUCAAUGACCUGGACUAUCACACAGCUAUUUGGUUAUGGUUUUCAUAAUUCAGCAAAGAUGACUUAAGGCUUUAUGGUGUUAUAGAGUGCUCUGGCAUCCAUGGCAAAGCCUAAAAUCAGGUGGAAGAUAAAACAUUAUAAUUAUUAUUCAUAUUCAAAGUAAAACUCAAACACCUAAUGCUAUUUAAAAGUUAUAGGACAGUACUAGGCAAUCAGUGGUUAUUAACAAGGGUUGUUUAGCGAUAUCUGGAGACAUUAUAGUUGUUAUAACUGAGUGAGAGGUUUGCUGCUGGCAUAUAGUGGGUGGACGCCAUGGAUGCUUCAAAACAUCCUGCAAUGCCCAGGACAGUCCCCCACCACAAAAAAUUAUCGGGGCUCACAUGUCGAUAGUGACAAGGCUGAGAAACCUGUAAUAAAUUGAAAGAAAAAAAAUUCAUAUGAGAAGGUAACUUUAGAAAUAAAAUUAGGGGCAUAAAUUAAAGGCUGCCAUGCACUGGGUUUAAGAUGUGUAUAUAUGCGUGCUUUUAGCAAAUUGAUUUCUUCAUGUACUCAUGGCUGAAUUAAAUCAAUUAUAUAUAAAGCGACCUACUUCCUCCUAUCACAAGAAACUAUUUUCACUAUAAAGGAGCUUAGAGCUGCACAUAGAAGCCCAAUGCCCACCCCCAAAGCCAAAUAUGCUAAUAUCUAGAGCAAUUAUCAUACAAGCAGGUAGAACCCAAAGAGAAAAAACUAGGGUCCUUGAUCCUUCCAAGUGGAGCCAUCACUUGUGUCCUCUCCACCGAUUGCUCCCAGUAGGUGGUCAAGUUCAUUGCCUUUGACAUCUUGCUUUGCUGACAGAUGCUUUCAAUACGAAGGCAAUUCAAAAGCAAAUGAAUAGAGGCUGAGGAGUUCAUGCAAUAGACCUGCUGUGGGUUCAUCACCCACGUCCAGUGCAAUACUUCCUAAGAGGUACCCCUUGAAUGGAAGACACAGGUCAUUUUUUCCAGAGGACAGGCUCUUCCUUCAAGUUCAGACUGAUCUGUUGAGGACAGUAGACAACAGAAAGUGGCUGGCAGAGUUGGGAUAUUGAGACCACACCCUGAAUUUUGUGAAACAUUUGAUAGAAAAGAAGAGAGGCGUUCCUGCUGUGGCUCAGUGGUUAAGAAACCAACCAGUAUCUAUGAGGUUGAUGGAUCCCUGGUCCUGGUCAGUGGGUUAAGGAUCUCUCAUUGCCGUGAGCUGUGGUUUAGGUCACAGACUUGGCUC
rnacentral:lncRNA from 1 species